rnacentral:rRNA from 1 species
GACGAACGCUGGCGGCGUGCUUAACACAUGCAAGUCGAGCGGUAAGGCCCUUUCGGGGGUACGACGAGCGGCGAACGGGUGAGUAACACGUGGGUGACCUGCCCUCAGCUCUGGGAUAAGCCUGGGAAACCGGGUCUAAUACUGGAUAUGACUCCAUGACGCAUGUUGUGGGGUGGAAAGCCUUGUGCGGCUGAGGAUGGGCCCGCGGCCUAUCAGCUUGUUGGUGGGGUGAUGGCCUACCAAGGCGACGACGGGUAGCCGGCCUGAGAGGGCGACCGGCCACACUGGGACUGAGACACGGCCCAGACUCCUACGGGAGGCAGCAGUGGGGGAUCUUGCGCAAUGGGCGAAAGCCUGACGCAGCGACGCCGCGUGAGGGAUGACGG